CCUCCCUUCCUUCGCUGCUCAGGCUGCCCCCUCCUCUCCCCGCCGCCGCCCACGACGGCGCCGAUGUCGCCGCCUAUGCCUCCGCGUCCCUCGCCCGCCUCGCCCGCCUCGUGGCCAACCGCGCCGAUCCUCUCGCCCGUGACGACGGAUCCUCCCCUCCCCAACAUCUCUCGCGAGCUAGGCGAAUCCUCCCGACACCGUCGCCGGCAAGAGCAACCGGAGCAGGGACGCCCGACAACUUGCCCGGUGAAACUGGAGAGAGACAAUGAUGAUGUGGGCAUGACGUGAUGCAGAUUUUCCCGGCGGAGCUGACACGAUGCUACUCCGUGCACAACCCGCAGUGGGCGCUGAAGGUGUUCCGAAGAGCAAUGGAGGGGGCGGAUCCGGCACACGUCACGGUGUUCUUCAGUCAGCCUCGCUGACCAGUUGCAGGCACACCGUGACAUGCCGCUCGAGGAGUACCAGGAUAAUCAAUUUGUGGGUAAUACAAGUCAAGUGUCUAUUCUCGAGAUUGGAUUGACUCUCAUUCCGACAUUUUCCAUGUGGUUGUUCUUGGGCUACUAUUAAAUGAGUGGUAUGUGCUUGCUGUUCUUUCUUUUAUGUAUAUCGAUUGAAAUUUUGUCCAAGCCAACAUCAUGGAUUGACACCAUAUUUACACUAUUUUUAUUCAUGAUGUUCUCUCUACUAAAAAAAAUGAAUGCAAGUUCUCCAGCUUGAUGGAUUCAAGCUCCGUUGUGAUGGAUUGGCCUGGUUCUGCUGGGUUGUAAGGCGAGGCACUGAUUUCUACUUUAAUGUUUUUUGCCAGAGAGUAUUACGUUUGAAUGCCCACAUCAUCCUUGUUGAAAGUGCAAAUGACUACAAUGUGACAUUCUAUUUUUAAUAGCAAAAAGUUCAAAGCUUUAUAAACAAAAUUGAAACAUAAUUGCUUUGGCAUGUUCAAAAGUAUACUGCAAUAUUAGUAAUUUCAGUGCCCAUUCCGAAGUGCCACCAUGCUAAAUCCAAACUAACAAGCUCCAACAGGCAAAAUUGGCAUGACAUCGAUCUUUAGCAGUCUGUAGAGGCACUAGAACAUGACAAGAACUUUUUCUAUUUAACAUUCUAUUUAACAUUCUAUUGCUCAUUAUCCUACUUUUAUAUCCGAAGCUAACCAAAAUUUGGGUGGUUGAUAUUUUUACCUACUCUAUAUUUUCUAGCUUGACGGAUUUGGAAGGUGAGGUACUGAUUUCUACAUUAUUUCAUUGGUGGGGUAUGUUUUGUACGGACUCAUAAGAAUUUUUUUUCUCACCACCUGAUGUUAUAUACUUUGUUGUAUUAAGAAGCCACAAUACGGAACCAAAGCUUUGAACUGUAGUUUUCCUACUUAAUAUUCAUUGCUAAAUUUCUCAUUUUAUCAGUAGUUGAAUCUCUAUUUUGUUCUUGUGUAAAAAAGGUGCUUCAGUACUGCCCUUUGUAUGCAAUAGGGAAAUGGUCUCUUUGUUCAUCACGAGAAACAAUAGUUUACAAUUUGGAAAUGCUUAUGGAGAUUACAAUAUUAGUUAUGUGAUCCACAUCGGAUUUUUUAUAUCAUUGUUGAUGCACCAAGUUGCUUUUGUGGGCAGAUCAAGAAUGUCUACCGCGUGUUGGGUCAAGGUGACAGAACACAAUUCAUCCCAUUAUCACUACGGGUGUAUGAUGGUAUAGUUGUAAGUUAGGAUUUAUAAUACAUGAAAAAAUUGAUUGCUCGCAUAAGUAAGAAAUGUAAUUUACAGGAUAUAUAUACUUUUACAAUCAUACCCUUAUGCCACUUGAAAAAGGUGAAGGCAGGUGUUAAUUUGAUGUUGCUGUUUUGAAUCCAUGCAGUGAGUGAUGUUCAUACUUGGCAUUCUUCGUCAGAAUAGAGGUAUGAGGCAAGGCUUCAAAAUAAGGGAACAGAAAAGUUACAGAGUUACACGUGUGCUCAACAUCAUUUGCCAUUAUUCAUGUUAGAGAUAAUUCGGUGACCUUAAUUAUGAUAACCUUGGAUAAUGUCUGCUCCUUGUGUUGAUUGCUAUUCUUCUGCUGGUAUGAAGGCGAGUGAGAGAGUUUCUCUAGUGUAGUUUGUUGGAGUUACCAUUCUUCAAAAAUUUCUCAAUGGAUGUAAUCAACAGUUCUUAGAUGAUAUGUAUUCUAAAUCAAGACUUAGACAAUAUAAAUUACCAUUUUUUACAAA